rnacentral:misc_RNA from 1 species
UAGUUUUGGACCCGUGUCUGUCGGUAGAUCCCCCGUCCUCGUGCGGCCGACUACCGACGCCGUGUCCCGUCAUUCGUGUGGCUUAUGUUACUGUUGCCUUUCAAGUGCUUGCGUGCAGGUACCCGACCUACGGGAAGUGGUGCUUCGUACACGUUUGCCUCGCGGCGGACUCCUUCGGGUGUCCCGCUGCGGCCAAAUGGCGCUUGCGGCGUUGCCUCGUGGUGCUGGCACGUUUACAUGCCCGGUGCUAUCAAGGCAGCCUCGCUCGUGCUAUUGGUUUUGGAUGUUGCUCACGAUAAAGGCUCAUGGCCCUUUUGGUUGCCUAGACCCGACCCUCAAGAAGCUCUCCGAAUCUGAAAGCAUCGUAGAACUGUGUUGCCUCUACCUAUCCACAGUUAGUGGUAGGAUACGUAACAUUCUGGACCGUUGCUAGUAGGAGCUGGAGAGCUUGGCCCGCUCAAUUGCGACAACCGGCCCGNCUGUUGUCCGCCUG